UGCAAUCUCAGGAGCCAGGGUAGGAAUGCCUAAGGCUGACCCACAAACUCAGAGAACGUGGGGAACUAACAUUUGCUAAGAGAAAAAAGGCUAGUAGCUAGGAAAAGUCCAAAGGAUCGUGUCUAAGACAAAGACAGGUAAGAACAAGCUAGAUCAGCAACUAUAAGCAAGCCCGACUGGUUACUAAGAACCUAGAGAUGACCCAAAAGUAAGCAUUUCUAAACAGAGGGAAGACGUUUUUAUGGGGUCCCUGUGGCCUGUCCAGGCUCAGUUGGUAGAACAAUUAAGGGUGCCAAGACAUGAUAGAUGAUCACUUUUAAUUCUGAAGAGACUUUAAAAAGGUAAAAAGCUUUAGCAUCUCAAUUUCGAAUGUACUGAGUACAGCCCUCGAGGCAUAUUUGUCUUUGUACAUCCCUGAGCCCUGAGCCCUAAGACCCCCACCCCCAGAGAGAUAAGGAAUGAGGAGCAGCCAACAAAGGCACUGCUGAGGAAGGGCGGGGAGGAGGGACUGGUGUCCCAGAGCUAAGUAAACAAAGUGUUUCAAAAAGGAGAAUGUGAGCAACUGUGUCAAAUAUCACUGACAUCUGCGCAAGUGGUGACCUUGACCGGGGCACUGCAUGCCUGAAGUCAGUGCAAGCAAGAACCGCAGGAAAGAAAGUGAAGAGAGCAACUGUAGACCAAGCUUUUAAGGAGUUUUGUGACUGAGGAGGGGCAGCAGCAAAAAGAAAAGAAAAGAAAUGGAACCACUGGAAUGGACCAAUUGCUCAGGUGAUGCCCGUGAACUGGAGAGAAGGAACAGGAGGACCCAGGGCUACUGGAGGGGCUGGUCAUGGAGAGGUUACCGGUGUUAGAGCUCGCCAAUGUGAAGAAUUGACAGAAAAUUCAGUCAUUAAUGGGACUUAGGAAAAAUUCAAAUACUGUAAUUUAAAUCGAAGCCAUUCUCUAAAUGAAGGUAAAUUAGCAUUAACACUGAAUAAACUAGGCCUUUAGGCAUCAUUUUCAGAUUAUCUAACUAAAUUAGAGUUCUGGAUGUUACUCAAGAAAUUAUAAUGCAAAUGGAGCUGGUACAAAUAGUUGCAGGCUUUUAGAGUUCCACUGAAGUUCUAUGCAAAGAUAUGUGAGAAUUUAAUUUCCCCACAUCUACUUGCUUUUUAUUUCUUACCUACUGUGACUUCUGUAAAACCCAGUGUGUCGAACUCAGCAGUUUCUUUAUUCAUGGCACUUUCAAUUACUUCAUUAAAUACAUCCAUUCACUUACAUAAUUAUAAACAAUUGGUUUUUCCACAUGCACAA